CAAUCUGUUUGAGGUUCACCAUUGAUAACAACAGCAGGCUCCCCCGGUAUCUCGAAGAUCCCUGGAGGAAGAGACGGUGGUCCUUCUUGCUUAAUGCUCCCAGUAUUCUCCAUCUUUCUUGCUUCUGCAAGAAAGAAAGCUCACAGAGUUAAGUUAACCAGCAGAAGUCAAGAUUCAAAACAUUAGCUGAAUCACUCAUCCGUUCUAUAGGUUUCAGAACCGAUGAAACGUGGUGAAACUAAGGCGAAUCAUUCAUAUAACGGUUACACGAGAAUCAGAUACAAACUUGAACACGAACGAAUCAAACUUAACUCUGGAGAUUAAGCCAGACACGUUCUUGUUUGGCAACGCGGACAACUUAAACUCUGGAUGAUCCACUCAGCAAAUUUCUGCAACAAGAACAGUUCUGCAAAGUAAGAUUCCGACUUAACCGGAUGCUCUCCUCUGCGUCAAGAGGGAACCUCAUACGGAUACCGAAGCUCUCUCCGCAAUGGUCAUCUACCAACAUCACGUGCAAAUAUCUGAGUGAGGGGACUGAUUCGACGAAGCCGUUUUGGAUAAGUAAUGUGCUGAGUAGUGGUGUCUUGGAUCAUCUUCAUCUUGAUAUUAAUGCUAAAGGUAUACAUACAAGUGUUUAAGCAAAUGGAACCUUUCCUGGAGAAAUUCCCAUGUCUUAAGCUGCUCAAAGUCUCUGCUUGCUUGGGAAAAAGAUGAAAAAGCAAGGCUGCAACUUGCCACGGAUCUGCUAAUGCUUCCCAGAGCUCACAAGCUCCAGGUAGAGUUCUUUUCCUGAUAAACUAACUAAUGCAUCAAGUGGAAAUUUUUGUCCCUCUCUUGUUGCUUAAGUUUGUUCAAACCUGAAAAUCUGUUUAAGCACUCUAUGUCUACAUUUUACUGUCGUCAUCAGGCUUGUUUCUAUUUGCGUUUUCAACAUGAAUUUGCAUUGUUGUGUUUUUUUC